rnacentral:rRNA from 1 species
UACGGAGGGGGCUAGCGUUGUUCGGAAUUAUUGGGCGUAAAGAGCUCGUAGGCGGUCUGUCGCGUCGGUCGUGAAAACUUGGGGCUUAACCCUGAGCUUGCGGUCGAUACGGGCAUGACUGGAGUUCGGUAGGGGAGACUGGAAUUCCUGGUGUAGCGGUGAAAUGCGCAGAUAUCAGGAGGAACACCGGUGGCGACGGCGGGUCUCUGGGCCGAUACUGACGCUGAGGAGCGAAAGCGUGGGGAGCGAACAGG